CAAGAAAUACCGAUCGGUAUCAUCAGAAACGUUGGUUAAGCCUCAAGAAAAAAAUACUCCAGAACAAAAGCAACAAACAUCAGCUUCUGCAGGUUUUAAGAAGCCUGGUACUAACGCUGUAAAAGAAAAAGAUGGAGAUCCAAAUUCUGAGAAGCCACCCUCUUCAAACAAAGUGGUGAAGUCCCAAGAAAAAAAUGCUUCAAGAGAUAGAAAGCAGAAGACACCAGCAGCGGAGGACAUCAGGUCACCUGAAGCAAAAGCUGUAAAAGAGGGUGAUAAACACCAGUGUUCUGGGAAGUACCAGCUACCUCCUUCAAGAAAAUCAGCAAAGCGUGAGGAAAAUACUCCAGGAGGAGACAAGCAGCAAACAAGAUUUGAAGAUUUUACGCCGCCUGAUACGGAUGCUGCAAAAGAGAAGAACAAAUUUCCAAGUUCCAAGAAAUACCGAUCGGUAUCAUCAGAAACGUUGGUUAAGCCUCAAGAAAAAAAUACUCCAGAACAAAAGCAACAAACAUCAGCUUCUGCAGGUUUUAAGAAGCCUGGUACUAACGCUGUAAAAGAAAAAGAUGGAGAUCCAAAUUCUGAGAAGCCACCCUCUUCAAACAAAGUGGUGAAGUCCCAAGAAAAAAAUGCUUCAAGAGAUAGAAAGCAGAAGACACCAGCAGCAGAGGACAUCAGGUCACCUGAAGCAAAAGCUGUAAAAGAGGGUGAUAAACAUCAGUGUUCUGGGAACCAUCAGUUACCUCCUUCAAGAAAAUCAGCAAAGCCUGAGAAAAAUGCUCCAGGAAGAGGAAAACAACAAACUGUAUCUGAAAGUUUUACAAAGCCUGAUGUAAGGGUUGUAAAAGAUAAAAACAAAGAUCCAGGUUCUGGGACGUGCCAGUCCCCAUCUUCAAAUUUGCUGGUGAAGCCUCAAGAAAAGAAUGCCACAGCCAAAAAGAAGCAAUCGCCACCGCCACCUGACGAAAAAGCAACGUAUAAAACUGGUAGUCCAGAAAAGAAGAGUGCACCUGAGAGAAGAGAGAAAUACCAGCUACGCUCUUCAGCUCUAUCAGAGAAGCUCAGCAAUGACAGCUCAGGAAAGGAAGGUCCUGCGGGCGACAUCAAGAGCUAUCAAGCUCCAUUGCCAAGUGAUGGCCUAAAUUGUAAAAGCAAUACUGUCCCAAAAUACACCGGUUUGUCUAAUAGAGAGAAGUCCCCCA
rnacentral:lncRNA from 1 species